UGCAGAUAGCUCUGUUUGUUUCCUCCGGUGAUGCUGUGCAGUCGGGUUGGCUUUUAACAUUCCUCAAAUGCACAAAUCAGAGAAAUGUGAAUGCAUCUAGUUAAGGUCCUCAAUUUCUCCAUCUUAACGUAGAAGUAAAGCUAUACCUCCUCCAUCCCUUCCUCUCUAGCGGUUGCAUUAGCAGUUAUCAUGGAUCCUUUUGGAUGUACCAAAUUUGAGCGCAAGCUUGAAGAUGACGAAGUUUGUGGGAAUAAAGAAGAAUUAGGUUCCCAUGCAAAUGACCCUAUUCAAAGUUUAACCAAGAAUGAUGUUCUUGAAAUGCAAUUCAAUUCAGAAGAGGAUGCCAAUGAUUUCUAUAAUCAAUAUGCUAAAGUUGUGGGAUUUAGCAUUAGGAAAGACACGCGAACAAUGCAGGCAACAAAGGUUCUUAGUAGAAAAUGGGUAUGC